rnacentral:rRNA from 1 species
GAGAGUUUGAUCCUGGCUCAGGACGAACGCUGGCGGCGUGCCUAAUACAUGCAAGUAGAACGCUGAAGAGAGGAGCUUGCUCUUCUUGGAUGAGUUGCGAACGGGUGAGUAACGCGUAGGUAACCUGCCUUGUAGCGGGGGAUAACUAUUGGAAACGAUAGCUAAUACCGCAUAACAAUGGAUGACACAUGUCAUUUAUUUGAAAGGGGCAAUUGCUCCACUACAAGAUGGACCUGCGUUGUAUUAGCUAGUAGGUGAGGUAACGGCUCACCUAGGCGACGAUACAUAGCCGACCUGAGAGGGUGAUCGGCCACACUGGGACUGAGACACGGCCCAGACUCCUACGGGAGGCAGCAGUAGGGAAUCUUCGGCAAUGGGGGCAACCCUGACCGAGCAACGCCGCGUGAGUGAAGAAGGUUUUCGGAUCGUAAAGCUCUGUUGUAAGUCAAGAACGAGUGUGAGAGUGGAAAGUUCACACUGUGACGGUAGCUUACCAGAAAGGGACGGCUAACUACGUGCCAGCAGCCGCGGUAAUACGUAGGUCCCGAGCGUUGUCCGGAUUUAUUGGGCGUAAAGCGAGCGCAGGCGGUUUGAUAAGUCUGAAGUUAAAGGCUGUGGCUCAACCAUAGUUCGCUUUGGAAACUGUCAAACUUGAGUGCAGAAGGGGAGAGUGGAAUUCCAUGUGUAGCGGUGAAAUGCGUAGAUAUAUGGAGGAACACCGGUGGCGAAAGCGGCUCUCUGGUCUGUAACUGACGCUGAGGCUCGAAAGCGUGGGGAGCGAACAGGAUUAGAUACCCUGGUAGUCCACGCCGUAAACGAUGAGUGCUAGGUGUUGGAUCCUUUCCGGGAUUCAGUGCCGCAGCUAACGCAUUAAGCACUCCGCCUGGGGAGUACGACCGCAAGGUUGAAACUCAAAGGAAUUGACGGGGGCCCGCACAAGCGGUGGAGCAUGUGGUUUAAUUCGAAGCAACGCGAAGAACCUUACCAGGUCUUGACAUCCCGAUGCUAUUUCUAGAGAUAGAAAGUUACUUCGGUACAUCGGUGACAGGUGGUGCAUGGUUGUCGUCAGCUCGUGUCGUGAGAUGUUGGGUUAAGUCCCGCAACGAGCGCAACCCCUAUUGUUAGUUGCCAUCAUUCAGUUGGGCACUCUAGCGAGACUGCCGGUAAUAAACCGGAGGAAGGUGGGGAUGACGUCAAAUCAUCAUGCCCCUUAUGACCUGGGCUUCACACGUGCUACAAUGGUUGGUACAACGAGUUGCGAGUCGGUGACGGCAAGCUAAUCUCUUAAAGCCAAUCUCAGUUCGGAUUGUAGGCUGCAACUCGCCUACAUGAAGUCGGAAUCGCUAGUAAUCGCGGAUCAGCACGCCGCGGUGAAUACGUUCCCGGGCCUUGUACACACCGCCCGUCACACCACGAGAGUUUGUAACACCCGAAGUCGGUGAGGUAACCUUUUGGAGCCAGCCGCCUAAGGUGGGAUAGAUGAUUGGGGUGAAGUCGUAACAAGGUAGCCGUAG